GGAUACAGCUCAGCAUCACAGCACCUGCCUGGCAAGCAGGAGGUCCUGAGUUCAAUUCUCAGUACCA
rnacentral:tRNA from 1 species